GCGCCGGGCCGCCCGUUGCCCGGUUUUGCAGCCGGUUCGCCUCCCAUCACAAUCUCAUAAAGAUCGGCUCGGCUUCAGCAAACGGCACAAGGUGGAGAAGCGCGGAUUGGAGCCGGCUCGAAGCUGCAGAAGAAGUUGGUGAGAUGUCGGAGCCGAAGCCCUGUGUGUGCCUGGAUGGAUCCUGCUCCUGUGAAAACACCUGCAGAUGCUCCAACUGUCAAUGUGCCACCAGCAAAGCUGGACGCUGCCAGAAAAGUUGCUGCUCUUGCUGUCCUGCAGCAUGCACCAACUGUGCCAAUGGCUGUGUGUGUAAGGGGAAAACCUCUGAGACAUGUACCUGCUGCUCCUGAACAACACGCUCUUCAGACACAACCUCUGAAAGAUUGGCCAUUUGUACUGUAUUCCCCAAGCUGUAUAUUUUCGUUAUGUAGCUCCGGAGGAUUUGUGUAUUUUUAUGAAUCAUUGCAAGUUUAUUGAAUGUUGUUUUGCUUGUCUUUUGAUAUCAGUUCCUGAAUAAAAUUCCACUCUGUGAUACAUUUGAAAAA